AUGAAUUCAUCCCGCAAGUUCUUCAUGGUUGUUGCCGUCCUUGCCUUGCUCGUCGUGGCUACAGUGGUGGCGCCGGCGCAGGCGGUAGACUGCAGGACAGCGAGCACCCGGUUCAACGGCAUAUGCAUCCUGGACAGCAGUUGCGCCAACAUGUGCAUCACCGAGGGGUUCCUGGCUGGCGGGGAGUGUGAAGGUCUCCACCGACGCUGCAUGUGCAAAACACCAUGCUAG
rnacentral:rRNA from 1 species